rnacentral:rRNA from 1 species
AGUGGCGAACGGGUGAGUAAAGUAUCGGAACGUGCCCAGUCGUGGGGGAUAACGUAGCGAAAGUUACGCUAAUACCGCAUACGAUCUAUGGAUGAAAGCGGGGGAUCGCAAGACCUCGCGCGAUUGGAGCGGCCGAUAUCAAAUUAGGUAGUUGGUGGGGUAAAGGCUCACCAAGCCGACGAUCUGUAGCUGGUCUGAGAGGACGACCAGCCACACUGGGACUGAGACACGGCCCACACUCCUACGGGAGGCAGCAGUGGGGAAUUUUGGACAAUGGGCGCAAGCCUGAUCCAGCCAUGCCGCGUGCAGGAUGAAGGCCUUCGGGUUGUAAACUGCUUUUGUACGGAACGAAAAGGUUUGGCCUAAUAAGCUGAGCUCAUGACGGUACCGUAAGAAUAAGCACCGGCUAACUACGUGCCAGCAGCCGCGGUAAUACGUAGGGUGCGAGCGUUAAUCGGAAUUACUGGGCGUAAAGCGUGCGCAGGCGGAUAUAUAAGACAGAUGUGAAAUCCCCGGGCUCAACCUGGGAACUGCAUUAGUGACUGCAUAGCUGGAGUACGGCAGAAGGGGGGAUUGGAAUUUCCCCGUGGUAGCAGUUGAAAUGCGUAAAUUAUGCCGGAAGGAACCACCGGAUGGGCGAAGGCCAUCCCCUUGGGGUCUGUACUGACGCUCAUGCACGAAGGCGGUGGG